rnacentral:rRNA from 1 species
UACGAACUGUGCGAACGUUAUUCGGAAUCACUGGGCUUAAAGGGUGCGUAGGCGGCGUCAUAAGUCAGGUGUGAAAUCCCCCGGCUCAACCGGGGAACUGCGCUUGAAACUGUGAUGCUCGAGUGAGGUAGGGGUAUGUGGAACUUCCGGUGGAGCGGUGAAAUGUGUAGAUAUCGGAAGGAACGCCGGUGGCGAAAGCGGCAUACUGGGCCUUUUCUGACGCUGAGGCACGAAAGCCAGGGGAGCGAACGGG